ensembl:lncRNA
UUUUUAAAAAAUAUCGAUAUAUUUUCAUAUGAGAUAUAAGAUGUGAAAAUAUCAUUUAUAUCGAUAUAGUAUAUGUUACGUUAUAAUUAUACUUGUGGAGCCGCAAGUUUGCCUCUCUUUCGUCCACUUUUGUCUCUACUCAACGUUACUCAGCCUUGCCUCUCCUUCACUGAACACAACUCCCCCUCCCCCAUAGCUUCACCUGCAGGCAACGACAAGAUGAACACGGCAAAUCUCCGUUAACGAGUUACCGCGGAUCGCCUCGUGCGUGGGGCUGGACGGCGUCAAUGUGUUAGCGAGCUAGCCGCGCUAACGAGCUUACCGCGCUAACGAGGCCUAAAAUCCUUUCUUUUUCUCAAAAAUCGACACUGCGCCUUAUGUAUGAAUUCUGGUUGUGCUUACUGACUGCAAACCGAUUUUAUGUGGUACAUGGCGCUCAGCAAUCUGUCAAAAAAUGUUUUAGUACGACUUUGGUAAGCUACAGAGCUGCACCGCUUGAUGGAUUGUCGGAGCAUUACGGCUUCAUAGUGAUGUGUCGGUCGCGAACGAAACGGUUCUUAGAGCCGGGUCUUUGAAGUGAACGACGCGAGCCGUGGGUUUUUUUUUUUUUUUUUUAUCUCACCCUCUCUUUCGCCCUUUUUUUCGCUUCACUCCUGCGAGCCUUGUGCUUGUGCUGAUAAGAGGGGGGAGGGGCGGUAGUUACACUCGCAGUAGCACAGAAACAGAGGGAAAGAGAGAGAAAGAGAGCCAGGGACAACAACCAUUGGAAAGGUAUAGUAAUCAUCCACAACUAUUUUCAGUUGCAGAUGAUAAAGGAUUCAGAAAGUUUAUCAUGCAGGCCUAUAUGACAAAGAAUGUGCAUCUUCUUUUUGUUUUCAUAUUUUAAUUUAUAUAUUAAUUGUGUUGUGGUUUGCAGUGUUUUGUGUUGUUUCACUUUAAAUUUGUUUAAAAGGAAAAAGCUGAAAAUUUAAAUAGUUAAAAGUUUAAAAUGUAAAUAGUUGGUUUUUGUAUUAUAUGAUUUAUUUAUUACAUUUUAUGUGGAGUGAAUAUGUCCUUUGGACAUAUAAGAAGUUCCAGAAGUACUACUGUUUAAAUGCAUUUCUGGAAACCUAAGCUAUGCUGCCAUGCUUGUUUUAGAGAGGGGACGCUUUCUCCUAGCAACUCAACUUUGAAUCAAGCCAUAGUUGUUCAGUCUUUUUCUAAUUGUACUGUCAGGAACAUUAACGUUUAACAUGCUAAGUGAGGCCUCUAGAGUCUAAGCUGUUGCUCUUGGUUUUCUGCAUUUUCUCUGAGCAUUGCCUACUCUGACCUUGGAGUGGAUUUCCUAGGACGUCCAC